rnacentral:rRNA from 1 species
CCCUUAGAGUUUGAUCCUGGCUCAGAUUGAACGCUGGCGGCAUGCUUUACACAUGCAAGUCGAACGGCAGCGCGGGGAGCUUGCUCCCUGGCGGCGAGUGGCGCACGGGUGAGUAAUACAUCGGAACGUGUCUUCUAGUGGGGGAUAACUGCCCGAAAGGGCAGCUAAUACCGCAUGAGACCUGAGGGUGAAAGCGGGGGAUCGCAAGACCUCGCGCUGGAAGAGCGGCCGAUGUCCGAUUAGCUAGUUGGUGAGGUAAAGGCUCACCAAGGCGACGAUCGGUAGCUGGUCUGAGAGGACGACCAGCCGCACUGGGACUGAGACACGGCCCAGACUCCUACGGGAGGCAGCAGUGGGGAAUUUUGGACAAUGGGGGCAACCCUGAUCCAGCCAUGCCGCGUGCAGGAUGAAGGUCUUCGGAUUGUAAACUGCUUUUGUCAGGGACGAAAAGGGAUGCGAUAACACCGCAUUCCGCUGACGGUCCCUGAAGAAUAGCA